AACGAACGCUGGCGGCAUGCCUAACACAUGCAAGUCGAACGAGACCUUCGGGUCUAGUGGCGCACGGGUGCGUAACGCGUGGGAACCUGCCCUUAGGUUCGGAAUCACUCCCCGAAAGGGGUGCUAAUACCGGAUAAUGUCUUCGGACCAAAGAUUUAUCGCCUUUGGAUGGGCCCGCGUUGGAUUAGCUAGUUGGUAGGGUAAAAGCCUACCAAGGCGACGAUCCAUAGCUGGUCUGAGAGGAUGAUCAGCCACACUGGGACUGAGACACGGCCCAGACUCCUACGGGAAGCAGCAGUGGGGAAUAUUGGACAAUGGGCGAAAGCCUGAUCCAGCAAUGCCGCGUGAGUGAUGAAGGCCUUAGGGUUGUAAAGCUCUUUUACCCGGGAUGAUAAUGACAGUACCGGGAGAAUAAGCGCCGGCUAACUCCGUG
rnacentral:rRNA from 1 species